CGGGACUACGCGACGGAUCUUCCGGGAGUCCGCCGGCUUGAGAGCUGCAGCCGCCUCGGCACGGUUCCGCCCUCACCUCAGGGGUGACUCGGCUGGUUCCUCACGUGCAGCGGACCCUGAACGGGCCAUGGGCGGCUCUCGGUUUGGGCAGCAUCUGCUUCGCCCAGGGCCCAGCGGUAGGCCCGGAGCCGUUCGGACGCCCGCACAGAGCGGCCCAGCCCGGGGGAGCUGCGGCUGAGGGCGGGCCUCUGACCUUCUCUCGCUCCGUGUUCCGCUGCAGUUUCUUUCAUAGGGGCUGUGUCGCUUUGUAUACGUCCGUCAGAAAUAGGUACGGUACAGUUUAACCCGAGGAGUGCUGAAGAGGCCAUUGCCCACGUUCAGCCAGGUUUUUCUUCUGUAGAGCCUUUCCAUAAGCUGCUGUGAAACGUGGGGAAACGUGGACAGUCCUUGUCUAGGUGGUUGCUUUGCUCUUUAAUGGCACUGCUCGGCCUCAGGAUCUUUCUAGACGAAUAGAUUUUUCAGUCACUUUUCCUUUGGAAAUAAAGGACUGUAAGUCAGCUCUGGUGAUUCUAAAGAACCCACCUUCCCCUCGUGCGCUAUGUGGCCUGUUGCUUUGUGCCUUGUUGUGUUCUGGAAAUGCUACUAGAGAUAAAAGUUGUGAAAUGCAACUGUUAAAGCAAUUUUGGUUGCAGCUGUGAAUUGGAAGACAAACACUCUGUAAUGACUGAGUUUAGUUCUAGCACUUCUGAUGGCAGUUCAUACACUGUCAGAAUUCUGACAUAAAGUUCAAGAAAAACUACAGCACAGUAGCAUUUUGGUUGAUUCUAUUGAUUGAAGGUCUUGGCUGUGAUUCUUAUUAUUGUGUAAACUUGAGAAGGUAAGAAACUCCAGAUGUACUCAAGUGAACUGGAAAGCGGCUAUGAGUCAUUGAAUUUAAUGGCAGAAGCUUUCUGUAAUUCUGACGUUCUUCUCAAGGAUGAGGGCAUUUUGUGAACAAAACCAGGCCACCUGAGGAGUUGCAGCUGUGGCUGUAACAUGCCAGAGAUCUGUAGUGCCGUAAAAUGAACAUACAGAGAUCUUUUUUUUUUUUUUUUUUUUUUAAUGUGUCAGCGUUAAAAUGGAAUAGCUAAUAAGUGAGCAAAUGUUGACAAAAUUUGCUAAGAAAACUGUAGUAAUUGAUCAAAAGAAAUCCAGUCUCUGGUCUGUUGUCAGAGGUAGUCCUGGAAUAUUCUUCCAGCAGUUGUGACCUGUGGCUAAUAAAUUUCAUGAGCUGGAGCCUGUCUUUGUGCACUCUGUGUAACUCUAUCCAAAUGACUUACGGAGUUGGGCAAGGUUACAGCAUUCAUGGUAUUUGGCUGAAAAGUGAGUAUUAGCAUAUCCAGGUGCUGCAGGAAGUAGAGACUUCUGUGUGCUUAAACUCGCUGCUUCAUAAUUUAAUUUGAUGGCUAUUAAGACUUGUUGCAUAAGGUGAAGAAUAAUAAAGGUUCUGUGAUAGCUGCAGAACUUGGCUUCCCCUUCUCUGUGCUCUUUGUGGUUGAAAAAGCAGAGUCCGUUUUGUACAGUGAGUGGUUUGUACCUCCUGUCAUCCUUUCCCAUACCUUGUGUCAUACUCCUUUGUUGUUUCUGAUAAGUAGAGGCCUGCACUAUCCACAGGAUUCAGUGUGUCCCUGCUUGAGCAGGGGUUUGGCCAGAUGACUUCCAGAGAUCCCUUCUAACCUAAACGACUCUGCCAUUCUCUGAUGCAGGAUGAAUGUAGAGUAAUUGAAGUAUAUAGUUUUGUCUCCUAUGUUCUGUAUUACUUGCCAGAUAUUUCCAAACAUUCUGUCUGGUUUUUGAGCAGUGAUCUGAUCACUCCAGUCACUCCAGAAUGUGGAGAAAAAGCAGCAAGAGUUGGCAGAAGUAAAGAGAGGAAAGAUGGCAACAGGUGAACCUCAAAUAACUAACUAUUAGUGCAAUAAAUUCAAGAUUAAUGCACAUAGAAUGGAAACCAGGGAGAAAAAAAAGCCUCUGGGGAGAAGUCUUUUGCAUUAUGGGUGUCUUCCUGUUGGAAUCUUGCAUUACAGGAAAUUGAGGCUGCCUUGUAAACUAAAGUAUUUACUUUAAAAAAAAAAUGGGGAAAUAAGAAGUUAACAGUUAAAGUUCUACACUUGUAGAACCCCUGGGGGUCUCAGGCAUUCCUUCUUUUGCUUGGAGGAAGGCACCUCUGUGAAUGUAUUUCCUUAUUGUAACAUUUGUAUAUGGGAAGACACAUGUCUUUUUUCAACAUGCUGCAGUUUCUGCUUUUGGAAGGCAAUGGCAGUGAAUGGGUGAAACUCUGGGUGAGAUGAGGCUGUCAUUGUUAUCGCAACUAGCAGACCAAAGAGGGAGGAUGGGAUGCACCGGCUGAAUUUGUGCAAGAUGACACAGUCAUCAUGGCAAGAUAUACAGAUAGAGUAUAUGCUCUUUUUCUCUAAAGAUGAAGCUGCCACCAUUUCAGUCCUUAUUACAACUUCAAGAGAUAGUGUUUCACCACAAUAGUACUGUUAACAAGCUUUUAAACUUAUUUUGCUGCGUAACGCCUACCUUUGCAUGUCAAAACCUCUGUCUUAUUUUACAAAAUUUAUUCUGUUGGUGAAGGGGUACAGGACUGUGGUGUUGCUGUUUACUGAAAGGCAUCUUUUAAGUUCCUCUUGAGAACAAUACAUAAACCACUGUGUGACAUCCAAUUUCUAGCAUCUCUGUUCUCUCUUCCUGGCUCUUUUUCAUACCAUAACGCUAAUCCAGAGCACAACGUUUGGAGUCACUGUGGCAUACAACCAAGAGCAUUUGUGGCUGUCCAACAAGAACCUGAUUGUGAAGCUUCAGGCUUGCUGUUGAGGCUACCUCGUUUGUCAGGAAUUUGACUCCUGAUUUGAUUUUUUUUCUGAAGAAGCAAGUUCCAGUGGUCACUCACAUCCAGGCAUGAAAUCCCUUAAUUUUGUUUGAAACUUGUACUUGUCAGUUGCUCUCCAUGUGCACACUUACUGGGUAGUUUUCUUCAACAUAAAGAGUUGCCACAUAAUUAGAUAUCUUCUCCUCAUUUUGCAGAUUAUUGAAAGGCAUUUCCUUCUCCUGAAGAAUAUCUUUGUAUAUGUUACUUCUCUUUGUGAUAUAUGAGCAAUAAACUCAAGCAGAACGGCAGAGAGAAAAAGCACAUCUGAGAAAUGUUCACCUAUCAUGUCAGCAUCUUAUCUGGUGUUUUGGAAAUAGGACAAUAUGAAGUAUGUGUAGUGGAAAUACUAAGACACAGCCUGAAACAGUGAUUGGGCACCUGAUGAGAAGGCAGGGCCAACCCAGGGGAGCUCAGGUGCAAGCAGUGUAUCACUCAGUGACUGGAAGGGGUGGAGCCAGGAUCCACCCCUUCCCAGCCCUCAUUUAAGGGUUGGCAGGGGAAGGUGAGGGCAUCUCUUGCUGGAGAUCUCUGCCUACCUUUGGCUGCUUCUAUUUAACGUCUUUAUUAACGUUCUUGAUAAGGGGAUUGAGUGUACCCUCAUAUGCAGUUUACAGGUGAUACCAAGCUGGGAGGGAGUGUUGGUAUGCCAGAGGGGAGAAAGGAAAUACAGAGGGACCUAAAUAGACUAGAUUGAUGGGCCAAGGUAAACUGUAUGAGUUUCAAUAGGGCCAAGUGUCAGGUCCUGCACUGGUUGUGAAUGAGAGAAUUUAUGUCAAAUCGCUUGAUAUCCAAACCGAUCCAGUGGAUAUUUACAAGCCUUGAGUGGGCCGGAUGGAAUGUCAUAGUGGCGAGGCCAGGUAUGGAAGCUGUUACUAUGAUGUUUCUUCUAAGAGUUGCACGGCUGUUUUGCGUUGCUCUGUUAAUCAUCCCAUGCCAUCCUUGGCUUCACUGCACGCAUCUGUCUGAUUGAUACCAUGUUUUUUCAUCACCUCAGAUGCUGGCUGAAAAAAAAAAAAAAAUUUAAAAACGCAUGACAACAUCAGUUUGCUGGACAUUUAUUUAUUUAUUUACAGAUAUUCAUAAGCACUCAGCACGGGUUUGGUGGGUUUGUCGAAGUUUUCCUUGUUUUUCUUCGUCGUCUCCUCUUCUCUCCCCCUUCCUCUCAUAGUUGUGUUUUUUUUCUUCUGCCAUCAAAAGAGAACCUGAUCCGCGCCGCAGUCCCCGGCGAUCCGGUCAAUCCGGUUAGGGAAGUUGUUUCCGCCGUCUCUGGUGCCCCCGCGUGGCCAAUCGGUGGAACUGUGGCAGCGUAUAUUGUUUGCUGCCGCCGACUGCAAGACGCCUGGAUGCGGAAGUGGCGAAUCUGAGUUUUGACCACUCUGCGCAGCCAAUCCGCCAAUCUUUAUGGUGAGAAGUCCUCAAGUCGGCAACACGCAUGCGCUCGAUGAUGUACAGAACGCACGGCUUUUGGACGAGCAUCCAAUUAGUUCGUCGCCGCGGUGGACUAGCAGGCGUCCCCUUCCACCCCUCCGCCCUGCAACGUCCCUCAUCCGUUUGCAAGCACUCUCGACCACCGUGGAACGCGAGCGGCUCGGAGAUUCGCGGUUGCAGAACCGGCGCGGAGCGGCUCCGGCACUGCAGCCUCCCGGGACCGGCACGGAGCGACUCCGCGGUCACCCCAAGCGGUGCCCUGCCAACUUCCCUAGGAGCUACUGAAUGGGCUUUUCCGUCUGUCCCGUCCCGUCCCACCCCCGACCACCGAGCUCCUUCACGUGGCGGUGCCUCACGGCUCCAGCCACCUCGCCACGCGCUGCAGGUAAGGAGCCACUCCCGCAGGGCGCGGCCAUGUUGUUCGGCGCGUGCCCACGUCAGAGGCGCUCCCAUACACCACGCGCGCGGGCAGUGCCUGCAGUACCACACAGCGACCGCCGGAGAGCAGCAGAGAGCCGCGGCGCUGUCGGUUGGCGGGGGAUGUAGGAUGUGGGGUGGGGAGGGAGGCGUGGGACCGCUCGACGGCUCUGUUCAGAGACGGUAGGAAUACUGUAACAGUGGGAAGCGAGCAGGGAAACGCACUGUGUCAGACUGAUAGGGGAAAAACACCACCCUCCGAUCACCUGGCGGUCCUUGACCAGAUGCUGCUCAGCAGUGGAGAGCUGCAUAUCCAGGAAUGCCCCGGAACCCAACUUAGGUGACUGCCCAAGCAGGUAAGGACCAUGCAUGUAUGCAAAUCUUUCCCUAUUUCACCGCGUGGCAUAAUGUAGUGCUUCCGGAGCUCGUUACGACGUGGUAGGGCACCUUCUUGGCUGCGUGUUCAUUUCCUCCUGCCUUUCCCUUGCUUUCCCCAUGUUUCCACCUUGCUUUGCCCUGUUAUUCCCACUGCCUUCCUCUGUGUUACUCAGGUGUUGUGCUUCCUUUGUGAAUAUCAAAUCCUUGAGCACUGCUGCUCCACGAGAGAGUUAUCCAGUCGGCUUGCAUUAGUUCGCUUUGUGCCCAGGGCCUUUUUCUGGGGCCCUAGAGCAUAGAAGCGAAUAUCAGCUGGGGGCCUCAUUGGCUGGGAUGUAGCUUUAAAUUAAACCUUGACCCGGACUCCAAGCCACAUAGGAACUGUAAAGAUAACUGUAUUAACACACAGUGUAACUCUAGUACUAACCCUUAUCCUGACGCUAAAAUCAUCUCUGACUCUAAAUGUAACAAUAAAAAUCAUGCUCAAAGUUUGUAGCAAAAGGAACCUUAACCCUGAUCAUAAUCCAAAGAACAGUCGUUGAAGUAACCGAUCUUCACCCUAAAAGUAACGUUUAUCAUAGGCUAAUGACCCGAAAAUAAUUGUACCAGCCAUCACCCUGAAGAACCCCUGAAAAUGACCCAGAGAAGUCACUGUAAAAGUAACGCUGACGGUAUUCUCAGUCCUAAGGGUGACUCUAACCUCAGUGCUAACAGAAUGCUAAGGAUCAUUGUAGUGGCCCUAAAAUUCUGGUAGUGUGACAGCAGUGCUGCCCUGCACAUGUUGGGCAGUCCCAUUGGUAUUGCAUUGCCUGCUAAAUACAGGUGGCAGUGCAGUGUUGCUCCCAGGCAGUACAAGGACUGCAAGGACAGCUUUCUGGCUCUCCGUGACAACAGCAGGCAAGCUGAGCGUUCCGGAAUGUCCUGGAACCCAACUUGCUGCCUGACUGCUUGUUGCUCAAAUAGGUCAGAGCAAUGCGUAGACUCAAGUAUAUGGUCAUUAAGUAGUGUGGAAUGCUCUGUUUUUCCCAGAGCUCAUUAAUGUGCCUUAUGGCAUCUUUGUGCCUUAGAUCUCUCUCCGGGGCACAGGAGCAUAGAAGCAGGUUGUGUGUGGGGGGUCAGAUUUGGGGGGCAGGCGAUUCCCUUGGUGGGGUCCAAGUGGUGGGUCCAGAGCCCAAACCCAAAUGAACCGAAUGCUGCCCGGGUUUGCGGAAGGCCUCCUGGGUUCACAGCUAGGAAAUGCACUGCUGGGAGGCCAACAGAAUGAAUUGAGGCCAGGGGCAGUUAGCACAAAGAGCUCCUGGCCUUGGGUCUCAGUUGCUCUGACUCGCUGGAAAAUAUUCCCCCGAGCUUGCAGGUUUUCCUCCCAGUAAGCUGGUACUCUGUUCCACUUCCUUAGUAUGUAUCCCUAGAAGGAGGGUUAUAGAAGAAGAAGAGACAAGAUCUGAAGCAUUUUAAAAACUAACAAAAGAGCAGAAAAGAAACUCCACACCAAACUGCACUGACCCAGUGAAGACAGCAGAUUGAAUGGUGGAAGGCUUUGAGAACUGUUCUGUUGUUCACUUGUGGUUUCAUUAGUCAUGAACUUGCACACCUUAAUUUUUCAGGCCGCUUGGUGUUUGUUGGCUGAUGGAAGCCCCCUCUGUCACUUGGCUGAUGAUUAAUUUCACAAAAGAACAACAGCAUCACUGAUGCGGUGGUGCCUUUUUUCGUUCAAGCUGAAGUUGUGGUCACCGUUUCCUUUGGUCUUGAACAGUGUGGCACUAGGCUUGACCCAGUGUGAAAUCUGAACUGUGGCAGUAAAGUUCAGUUCUGAAGGAGGCUCCAACUCUUGGGCUGAUGCGGGCAGCAAAAAGUUCCAUCAUUCACAGAGGAUGUGGAGACAGUGAGGCAGCAAAAUAGAAAACAGCCCAGUUUAGAAAGAAAGGCAUUUUCAAACAUCUUCAGGGUGCUUCCGGCUCUGAUAGUAAUCACUGCUAAAAGCAAUUAGUCCUUCUGGGCUUCUCAGGAAACUCAGGAAUUUGGGGACAAAAUGGAGAACUCACUGCUCUAACAAAUGACAUUCCCCUUCGUCAGCCCCAGAUAUGCCUGGCUUCUGACUUCUCCACAUGCAAAAAAGCGGCCUCUCAGGUGCAACUUUUUUCAGUAUUGCUUGUUCUGAAAUAUUUAAGCGUGGGAUCUGUCCCUCUCUGUUCUUUGCAGGAGGUCAUUUCUCACUGUGAAAGGCUUUCUAAGGAGCAUGAGAAGCAGCUCUUUGACACCACGAGGCUGAGCAAGCAAAAGGGUGGUUUGAAAUCUUUGAGCAAAAAGAGGGGAAAAAAGCUGGAAGCAUGUUGGCAUCUGUUCUACUUCCUUGCACUGCACACAUCUGUCCGAUUGAUACCAUGUUUUUUCAUCACCUCAGAUGCAGGCUGAAAAAAAAUAUAUAUUUUUAAAAAAGCAUGACAACAUCAAGUUGCUGGUUAUUUAUUUAUUUAUUUACACAUAUUCAUAAGCACGUAUACAUAAGCAGUUUUCUUUGGUUUUCCUCGUCGUCUCUCCUUCUCCCUCCUCUCCUCCUUCUGUGUUUUUUUUUUUUUUUCCCUCAGCAGCUCUGGGGAAACUCACCAAGUGCUCUGGUCAGGAGGAUCCCUGGGCUGCCCUGCACCUCUUCCAGAAUUCAUCUUUGCUGGUCCCAGCAUGCAACGGUCAGAGAGCCCACCUUCUUUGUGCCAUCAGCUCCCUCACCUGCAGAACUGGCUUUUAAAUGGUGCCCAAGAGCUGGGAAAGCGAUGUUUAGGAUUCAGUAUUCAUAGAAUCGCAGAAGGGUGCUGCAGCAUGGCACCCCAUGAGUGGCUGUGUGUCACCUCCAGUGGCACCUGCAGGGACAGCCCAGCACUGUGUGGGGAUGUGGGGGCAGGACUAAUCGGGGAACAGUGGGGACCUUGUGGGGACAUUAGGGGAAGUGAGGAGUGGGGGACACCGGGACAUGGGGAUAUGGAGAGGGACAUCAUGGGGAUGUUGGGGGGGACUUUGGAGGGGGACUUUGAGGACAAUAGGGGAACACUGGGCAAUGUGGAAACACUGGGACAUGGGUACAAACACAGGGGACACUGUAGGGACCCAGGGACAGGUGCCCUCACUGAGGUGGCCCUGGCUCUGUGGAAUACCAUCCCCAAGGGGUGCCAGAUGGUACCCGUGGUCCCGUGUGUGUCCUCACCGCGGUUGCACAGUGUCAGCACUGUGGUCAUGUUGGCCAUGUGGCCGCCCAGCAGCAGCAUGGCACUGGGUGUCACCAUGACCUCCAGGUUGGGCUGGCAGUGCUCAUCUGUCACGUAGUGCUGCUUGAAUGGCACCAGCACCUCCUGAUGCGGCCUGCUGCCUCCCUGUGUCACCUCCAUGUGUCACCUCUUCUCACCUCUGUAGUUCUGACCCCACAUGUCCCUGUGUCCCCACACAUCCCCUGAUGUCCACAUGUCCCCUCAAGUCCCCCCAUGUCCCCCGCCCCACUUCGCUCCAUGCCGAUGUCACCGUGGGCUAGAGAAUGGGGACAGGGAUGCCUGUGGGGUGCGUGGAGUCCAGGGAGAAGUUGAUGGCCAUGUGCAGUGGGGUGAUGGUGUCCUCGGGGUGCAGCUGUGACAGUGGGGUGGGAGUAGUACCCAACAAGUGGGGGUCAUUGUCCCCACAGUGGGGCUUGUCCCCCAUGCAUGUGGGCAAGUUGUACAGGGAGUGCAUUCUGGAGAUGAUUUUCUGCAAAUCUGUUGUGACUUCAGAAAUCCCACGUCGUGCCACAGCAGAAAUGGGGUACUGCAGUAUGUCAGUGAUCUCUGAUUUGAGGAGCUCAGGGGCUGCACAAAGUAAACACUCUGCAGCCUCCCUAUUUCUUUGGGGUUUGGGAUCGAUGUUUGAGUCAAAAGGCUACAUGCUGCCAUACAGGCAGGUGCCAGGUUCACCCACUGAGGACACUAAAUCCUACACUAUUUUCACAGUGGUCUUCAAUUGCAAAGUGAGUAGAUGACACGUUUCUCACUGGAGAGCCAUAAGCUGAUCCAGGCAGUUUGGCAGACAGCACUCACUCUGUUCACACCUGGAAUCUCAGCCCUUUUGUUGCACGUGCAGCUUCUCAGCAUCUUGAUGUAUCAGUAUUGAAAUCUGUGCUACCCUGUCUAUUAGAAAUUUCACCAAUUGCCUUUGAGGACAGACUGGAAUCAAAAUAUGUGGGCCAUCAUAACUUGUCCAUUGAUAAACCUCCUUGCCUUGGACAAGCAGACCCAGCUGGCCAAUUUUUUGCUUUUUUUUUUUUUUUUUUUUGCCUUUAUGGGAACUUUGAGAUCACAGCCUGAAGCAGUGAUGGAACACCUGGUGAGGGGUGUAGCCAGCCCUGCAAGCACAGGUGGAAGGAAUUCCAGAUGGGGCUGAGCCUGUCUCCACCCCUCCCUAACCUCAUGUAAGGGCUGGCAGCCCCAGAGGCAUUGUCUCUAUCUGGAGCCUGCUUCCUGUAGGUUGCUGGGUGAGCCCUGGUCCUGGGAAAGAAGUAAGUGAUUCUUUCUUUAUUGCAGGGGUUUUGAUCUCUGCCUUUCUGAGGGGAUCCUAAGCUGGUUUAGGGCAGCUAUAUCUGCUAUGCCUGUCCUUGUGAUGCCCUUCAAUUGUUCUCUGAGAAAAGUGAAGAGGUUAUCUCCCUUUCUCUGACCUGGUAAUAGAGAGACUGACGUACAUUCCUUUCUUUUGUUAUUAUCUCAUUUCUGGAGUGCUUCAAUCAGCCCCAAGGUAAUGCUGGCUGGCUUACUGAGCACUGCAACUCCAGAAAUGCCUGGAGCUGGUGCUCUUUUCCAUAAAGGGAUUCUGUGUUUUCUGGAUCUUCUUUGCAAUUCUUUUUAAGCUCAAUACCUUCUUGUUAAGUCUCUGUUCCCUUUCAUGAUUCUCGUCUCACAAUCUCCAACCUGGGGCUCUAAACUUGGUUUGUCUGCCACCAUGUUGUCCUAGCCCAUUUUGUGAUGUGUACUCUCUGUGUCCCCCUCCGUGUUCUCUCUGUGUCCUCAUGCCCCACUCAUGUCUUUGUGUCCUCUCCCCAUGUCUGCUCUGAGUCUCCUGUGCCGUGUAUUAAUUCCACCCAUGCAGAGUAUUGUUUAAGGUCAUGUAUUUAAAUUACAUGCGUCCCUUUUGAUCUCAUUCUAUUUUGCAGCUCAAUGGGGUUUAAGGAUUUCUGGGGCUCCUCUAGCUAGUGGUUUAAGCACUGUGAAAUCUUUGGAGCAGAUAAUGGAACACCACGAGCCCCUUGUUCUUGCAUGGCUUGUAUGCAGGCAGGUUUUGUGGUAGCUGUGGGAAGCUCACUUAAAGAUGAAAUGUGGGUCACAAGGGGCUCACCUUGCUCCGUGGGGUCUAUUUUUCCAGCCCAAUAAGCUACAUGGCUAGUGAUAGAGUGAGGUGCAUCUACCAGGCUGGGACCUGAGCUUAAGAAAACCCCCAGGCCCCAGUAGCCAUUUUCUUCAUCCUCACUUGGUGCAAUACAGUCUCCACUGCUCGACCAUACUAAACACAAAUAUUCUGUUCCUGUUUUGUCUGGUUCUCUCCUAUAUCGCCCUUACAAAUUUGCCAGUGGUAACAGAUGCCAGGGCAUAAUUCUCAGAGCACGCUGUGGCCGACCACCCUGGGGUCCUGUGGUACUUCCUGUUUUUAUGGCAGAUCUGGCUUUGUAUUUAUAGGAGACAAGGGAUUGUCCUCCACUGGACUGCUUUGUCAGGAUGACCCCAGAUAUCUCUAUUCCAGUUGUCUGGGGAUGCUAUUAGCUUCCUAAUCUGUAUGAUUCCCCAACCCCCCGCCCCUUUUCCUUCCAUCCCCCGUCCCCACUAAAUCUGCAGCUAUGGGACUGAACAGCGUGAUGAAGCAAGGCCUCUGAUGUACUGAAUACUGAGACUGGCACAGAGAGGCUCUACAACUGGUCUGGAUCUUCCUGAGUGGAGUACUUGGUGAGUUUCCCCAGAGCUGCUGAGCAUGCAGGCUUCCCUGCCUGCCCUUGUUGCACACCAGGCCAUUGAUGUCCUUUGUGUCAUCAUGUCUCAUGGCUUCAGGUGUCAUACCAUAAACUCCUUAGAGUUGGAAAGGACCAUUUAUGAUGAUCUAGUCCAAUUUCCCUACAGUGAACAAGGACAUCCACGGCUAGAUCAGGUUGCCCAGGGCCUGAUCCAGCCUCACCUUGAAGGGGACAGGGCAUCCACCACAACUCUGGGCAACCUGUUCCACUGCCUCACCACCCUCGCUGUAAAAGAUAUUUUCCUUAUGUCUAACCUAAAUGUUCCCUUGUUCUUUCCUUUAGCUCCUCUUUAGGUAUUGAAAGGCUGUUACCAGGUCACCUCAGAGCCUUCACUUCUGCAGGCUGAACAGCCCCAGCUCCCUCAGCCUGACCUUGUAGGAGAGGUGUUCGAUCCCUUAGUUCACUUUUUUUGUGGCCAUCCUCUGGCUGUGCUCCAACAGGUCCAUGUCUCUUCUGCACUGAGGACUCUACAUCUGGAUGGAGUACUCCAGGUGAGGCCUCUUCAGUACAGAGCAGAGGGGCAGGAUCACCUCCCUGCACCUGCUGACCACGCUUCUUUUGAUGCCGACCAGGAUAUGGUUGGUUUUCUGGGCUGGGAGGGCACAUUGCUGGCUCACGUCCAGCUUGCCAUUCACCAGUACCUCCAGGUCUUUUGGGAGAGGCCUAUGCUCAGUCUUUUCAUCCCCCAGCAUGUAUUGGUAGUGGGGGGUUCUCUUGUCCCACGUGCAGGACACUGCACCUGGAUUUUUUGAACCUGAUGAGGUUCACCUGUGCCUGCUGCUUGAGCCUGUCUAGGUCCCUCUGUUUGGCGUCCUGUCCCUCUGGUGUGUCAGCUUGGUGUCGUCAGCAAAUUUUCUGAGGGUGCACUCGACCCCACUGGUGAUGUCGCUGAUGAAGAUAUUGAAGAGUAUCAGCCUCAGCAUGGACCCCUGUGGGACAACACUCAUCACCAAUCACCAUCCAGACAUGGAGCCAUUGACCGCUGCUCUCUGGACCCAAUCCUGUAGCCGGUUCAUUGUCCAUUCAACAGUCCACCCGUCAAAUCUGUAUCUUUCCCAUUUGGCGAGAAGGAUGCUGUGGGAUAUUGUGUCAAAGGCCUUACUGAGGUCCAGGUAGAUGGUACCAGUGGCUCUUUACUGGUCUAUUGAUGCAGUGGCACCAUCAUAGACAGCCACUAGGUUGGUAAAGCAGGAUUUACCCUCGGUGAAGCCGUGCUGGUUCUCCUGUAUCACCUUCCCUGUCUUACUUGUGCCUUAGUGCAACUUCCAGGAGGAUCUGCUCUGUGCUCUUUCCCAGCACAGAGGUGAGACUGUUAUGUUGGUAAUUACCAGGGUCAUCCUUUCUUCCCUUAUUAAAAAUAGAUGUGAUGCUGUCUUUUUUUCAGUCACUCAGGGAGGCACUCUUUUUGAUCUAAUGCAAUGGUUUCCUAAAAUUCAGUCCAAUUGAAAUUCUCUUUUGUCUAGUUACAAGGACUUCAAGCAGAUUGUGAGCUUGGGCUUUACAGGUCAGCGGUGGAGCCAACAGGGAGGCCUCUGGAUUUUUGAAGAGGACUGAGAAGGCUGAGAAUCAGUGUUGAGCAGAAGGUUCUGGACACCAGGACUUCUUCAAAGAGAUGUGAGGACUCCACUGAGGACAUUGAUGGACACAGCAGGAAGCCACAGCCAACGCUGGACACCAACAUCAACACUUGAUCUUGUUUGCCAAGGAGCUCCCCUUGGCCUCUGUGUCUCGCUCUGGCCAGGCAGAUGUGGUGCGCCAACGGUACGCAGAGUCCAGACCCUGAGCAGAACAACUGAGGAGAGAGGCUGCCCUGGGUGAGACAGGAGAAGUGCCCCUUGAAGCGGGGGACGCCCCGCUGGCGCUGCCUCUCGCAUCCACCGGCAGCACGUUCCUUCUCUCUCCUUGGCACCCGAUGCUUUGCCGUCUCCCAGGGCUCACCAAGUCCAAAUGUUCCCUGAUGGAGUCCAACUCCAGCUUGACCAACACUCACCCGGUCUGUCCCUGCACCAGCUGGCUUAGGGCUCCCCAGCACUGCUGGCUGUUGGUGCCUUCUGUCACUCCCAAUCAGCAUGGCUCUGUUCUUUGCCUUUUGGCUUCCAGAGCAUUUGCUACAGGUUAUGGAGUGUUUCUCUUCUCUCUCUUCUUGUCCUCCAUGUUGCCUGUUGGCGCCUCGGUGGAGUUUCAGUGACCCAAAUGCAGACUGCUCUGCAUUGACCAAUUGUGAUGCCAAGAGAAGAGGUAGGCUUCAAAACAGGCUGCUGGACUGGAGACUCCACCACCAGGUGCUGUUGUCAUUCCUGACCUCCCUGGGUUGCGGCGUUGGACAUGCCCUGAUCCUUAGAAAGGGGAGGCAGUGGAGAGUUGUGACCCUCUCGAGUGCUGCAAGGACUCUAUGGAGGCAUUUGGUGGAUGCCGCAGGAACCCACAGCCAGAGAUGGAUGCCAAGAUGCACUCCUUCCUCUGUCUGGCAAGCUCUGCUGACCUGUGAGGUCGUUCCCACGCUUGCAGAGGUCCUACGGGCUUGGUGUUGGUUGUCGCUUGUGCUCACCUUGCUGUCACCGGGUGUUCUUCCUUUGGCCAUCUUUAGGGCUCCCCAGUUCUGGUGGGAUCUCCGUGCCUUCUGCUUAUCCCAGAGAACAUGGGUUUGUUCUCUUAUAUCCAGGUUCAGUAUGUUUUCCUGUUGUUAUGUGAUGUUUGCCUUAGUUUUUUUAUUUUUUAUUUUUUUUCCGGGCUGCUUAUUGAUCCAUCCUGGGUCUGCAAUAAACCAAAUGAUUUCUGGUAAGGUUUGACCAAGUGAGAUGGAAAAUCAAGUGGUAAACUCCAAAACAGGCUUGCAUAUUGGAGACUUACCCACCACAUGGUGAUGCCUUCCCUGACCUCCUUGAUUGCAGUGUGGGAUGUGCCCUGAUCCUUGGAAAGGGGUGAGUGAUUCCUGCAUCCUCACUAGAAGGUAAUCUCUACUUACCUUUUCUUGUGUUCAUAAGGUGGCACUGGAGAGUUGUGACCCUGCUGAGCAGUGCAAGGACUCUACUGAGGCUCUUGGUGGACACAGCGAGAACCCACACCCGUAAAUGGAUGCCAAUAUCUAUUCCUUCCUCUGUCUGGCAAGCUCUGUUGUCCCCUGAGGUCAUUCCAAUGCUUGCAGAGGUCCUAUGGGCUUGUUGUUGGUUUUCGCUUGUGCUCACUUGGCUUUCCAAGGGUGUUCCUCUUACUUGACACCCUUUCCCAUCCUCCAUUUCCAAGCAGGAGCUCCCUUUGGCCUCCAUGUCUCGCUCUGGCCAGGCAGAUGUGGUGUGUCAAUGGAUCAAAGCCUUCAGAAUUCAACCAAAAGAAAUGGGGAGAGAGGCUGCCCUGGGUGAGACAGGAGAAGUGCCCCUUGAAGCGGGGGACGCCCCGCUGGCGCUGCCUCUCGCAUCCACCGGCAGCACGUUCCUUCUCUCUCCUUGGCACCCGACGCUUUGCCGUCUCCCAGGGCUCACCAAGUCCAAAUGUUCCCUGAUGGAGUCCAACUCCAGCUUGACCAACACUCACCCGGUCUGUCCCCGCACCAGCUGGCUUAGGGCUCCUCAGUUCUGAUGGGAUCUCAGUGCCUUCUGUCCCUCCCAUUUCAGUGACCCAAAUGCAGACUGCUCUGCGUUGCCCAAGCGUGAUGCCAAGAGAAGAGGUAGGCACCACAACAGGCUGCUGGAUAGAAGACUCUGCCGUCAGAUGGCGUUGCCUGUUCUUCUCUCCCCAGUUUGCAGAGUUGGAUGUGACCUCAGCACUGGAUAAGGGGAUGGAAUUGUACACCUGGUUGGAUCUACGAUGACCCAAAUGCAAUCUAGUAAGGUUUGGCCAAGUGUGGUGGGAAAGGAGGAUGUAGGCUCCUAAGCAAACUUCUGGAUUGGGGACACCAGCACCAGAUGCUCUUGCACUUCCUGACCUCCCUGGGUGGCAGCAUUGGAAGUGCCUGGACCUUUGGAAAGGGCUAAGUGAUUCCUUCAUCAUUACCAGAAUGUAGUUUGUGUUCAACAGGUGACGGUGGAGAACUGUGGCCUUCUGUUCAGCGCAAAAAGUCUACUGAGGAUCUAGGUGGAUAGAACAGGAACGCAGAGCCAUAGUUGGAUGCCAAGAUGCACGCCUUCCUCUGUCUGGCAAGCUCUGCUGACCCCUGAGGUCAUUUCCAUGCUUGCAGAGGUCCUAUCUGUUUGGUGUCGGUUGUGCCUUGUGUUCACUUGGCUUUCACCUGGGGUUGUUGCCUUAUAAUAUUUUUCCCACCCUGUUUCCAAGCAGGAGCUCCCCUUGGCCUCCAUGUUUCGCUCUGGCCAGGCAGAUGUGGUGCGCCAAUGGUAUGCAGAGUGUAGAUCCCAAGCAGAAC
ensembl:lncRNA